CAAGAAGCGGGGGGAGGGGCUCCACCCCACUCUUUGCAUUGCUGAAAAUUAGUAUGGAUUGACAAAAUGAGAUAGCACAGUUGUCUGGCAGAUAGACGGUAAUUGCAGUUGGGCCACCGGGGCUGGUCUAGCCCCAGAGGGGGAAAUUAUCAUUUUGAUUAUGUUCGGGGGAUAUCUAUUUAUGAGUCCAGGGUUCUUAGUUGAGUUAGAUGGAAUAUUUUUCUGGAUGUAGAAAAACAAAAUUUGGAUACAAAAAAAAAAAGUAAACGCAGGUCUGUUCUUUGACCCAGAGCGUUUCUAACCGUUUCUGCUUGGUGAGCAGCACGGUGAGAGAAGAGCAGAAAGGUUUCCCGUUCUUUUACACCUGCCGUCUAGCAGAGGCUUCUCCUCUGCUUGACAAAGAGAAGCCAGCCAAGUGUCCUUUGCACCGCUGCCCUGUCACAGCUGAGCCUCCCUUUCCUCCUGCUUUCUGUGAUCCAGCUGCCUCGCUAAGGUGACAAGGAAUGAGGAAGUGAAAGGGCUGCACUGUGCCAAGGAGGUCCUGGCCCAUAACAAGGCCGUGACACACGGAAAGAGACACCGAGUCACACUGGACUCAGGGUUCAGACAGAUCUGAGUUCAAAUUCUAUCUGGGCCAAGGAGGAGACACACGGUCUUGGGCAGAGACAAUGCCAGGAAGGUGAGCUCUCAUCUUUGGCAUAGAGAUGGGCCAAAUGCACCGCUGAAGAAGGGAGCAGAAGUUGGUGCAAGUUAUGCAAAUGGCGGCUCAGGGAUCUAAGCAGAAGAAGAGAUGGAAAGAUUGUAAGAGCCAGAGGUGAUGGAAGACGCCAGACAAAUGGUGUCUUCCAGACACAGUAGGACUGUUACACACGUGAACUCACAGAUACUGUGGCAGCCUGCACAGGACCUGAGCAGGUCCCACGCCCAGGAGUUGUUGGCCAACAGAAAAUGAACUCAGUGGCUGUGUUCGUUUAGAUCGCUGCUGUGUCUCCGAGCGGAAGUUCUGCCUCUGACAACCUAUUUCCUGCAGGAAUGACAACACAGACGGUCUCUGCGCCAUGCACGUUCGGCUCCAGUGCCAGGUUCUUUCCCUACGUGACCUCACUUGUCCCCACUACACCUUUGCAUGAUCAAUUCUUGUCUUGGUUUAUUGAACACUCAUCUCUAAUGCUGGAACGUGGGCAGGGCUGGGAUUUGAGCCCAGGUCCCCCUGAUAUCAGGAACUUUUUUCCCUGUGAGUGCAGAAAUGAAAAUGGAGUUUCAGAAUACGAGCACUGGGCAGAAGCUUUAACUGAGUGGAGAAAGGAGCUGAAGAAAAGGAGACAGAAUGGAUGGUGGGAGACUCUGCCUACCACCAGCAGACAAAGGAACAGAUUUUUACCAGUAAAGACAAACUUUUACUUUGUCACUCAUGAGAAAUAUAUAUAAUAUAUAUUACAUAUAUUCAUACAUAGAAACCAAUGGAAAUAUAUAUAUAUAUAUAUACAUAUAUUUUUCAUUAGCAUAUAUUCAGCUAAUAGGGUGCUGAGUUCUAUGAGGUCACUAUUUUUAUACAAAUGUCUAGUGUACUGGGCGCUUAUUUCCCCGCUGUAACUUCCAUUUUCUUCUCCCCUUAGUCCUGUUUGUUCCCCUGGAUGGUUUCAUUUCUGCUUUCAGGUCAUAUAUACAAAUUUGAUUUUAUAGAUCUCACAAAAUGAGAGAAAACGUACAAUACUUUGGUUUUCUGAGAAUGACUUAAUUUGCUGAACACGAUUCUCCGCAGUUGUUUCCAUUUUCUUGCAAAGAACAUUGUCCUGUCCUUCCUGAUGGCUACAAACAAGAAAAUCCACUGUGUACAUUUGUGUGUACAAAUGUGGUGAAAAAAAAAACACCACUUUUUUUUCUUAGAAAAUGAUGUUUUUUAAAGAAAUUGCGUCCUUAUGGCUUGAGGAUAUUUUCCUGUAAGACACAGAUCAGCAGCCUGCUUGUCCUUGGAGACGUCCUUCAUGACCCUGCUGCACCUGGUGAUUUUUGUUUUUUCUUUUUUCUUGUGAUGAGAAGAUAAGGGGCAGGCACAUUCCAUACGCUGUUGAUAAGAAAGGAGAAAAUCUCCUCGUGGAUAACAGGCUUUGUGGAGCAAGGGGCAUGAGAGGGCAUCUCUUGUCCCCAUGAGGGCCCCUAUUUCUAUUUCACAACCUCCGAAUCCACUUUUUUUUUAACUAGCUCUUGCUGUCACUGUCACCAGGCUCUGGUUCUUCAGUGCCUCCCUGGGAAUUUCCCUCCUCUUCCCUUUCCUGCAAACAGCCUGUUGCUCUGUUAACUCCUGCUCUGAUCGCUGCUGGAGCUCUGCUCAGACCCAUUUGCAUGACCAUCGCUCCUUUCCCCAGUCUCCUCUCAGUUAGUAGCAUCCUCUCUUCCUGAGAGUCUAUUUCUAUUCUGUUUCCCCAUUUUUUGUAGGAACAUGCAAUGCCUUGGUAACCAAAUCCAAACUUCUAACUUGGACUGUGUGAAUCUUCAGAAUCAUCUACCCUCUGCUACGAGUCAGAGGUGACCUGAGUGUGCACUAAGAAUGUACUAAGUUGGGAACUUGCUCCCCAAGAUGGUUGUAUCUGGAGGAGGUGAAUCCUUUAAGGUGUGGGCCUAGUAUGAGAUCCUUAGACCACAGGGUAGGGCAUCUUCUGAAGAAUCACUAGAGUCCCUUUUUACUUCCCUCUAAGAAUGUGUACUAAAUAAACCUUUUCUUUAUGUAGAACUUUUAUUAUAGUAAUGAAAAUCUGGCUACAGACUAGAAUCACUUGGUGAGCUUCAAAAAUUCCUCUUGCAGUUCUCAGCCUGACUUGGACCAGACAAAGGCUGCUUCCAGCCUCGAACACAGGAAGCCUCUCCUUGUGCUGAGCAGAGGUCAAUGCAAGGACCCAUGGCUGCACAAGAUGCUGGAAGUAAAGCAUGGCUGGGCAUUCAUUCCUAAUCAAGACAUUCAUACCACCCACUUUAAGGCCCAGGGGACACUGCAGAAGAGGAGGGCAGAGAGAACAUAAGAGCUAAAAGAUGGGAAGAAGGGCUGCGAAACACCACCUUCUAAACAUGUCACGGCCGUGGAAACCACAGAAUCACAGCAGCUACGUACUCUGGCUGGGGUGCCUCUGAACAGUCAGCUAUGGCAAGGAAAGGAACUCACCAGAUCCUACCACGUACUGUUGAACUAUUGCCUACCAACAUAUUCUGAGAAAGGGGGAGAAUUAUAUCCGGGUGAAUACCCACUAGCGAGCCUACCAGGUUCUCAUGGUUUGGUGAGUUCCAAACUCAGAUUCACAAACAUAGCCCUAGUGUUUGAGGGACACUAACUAGAGUAGGUAGUCUAAAGGGGAAAGAGAUGUGUAGAGAAUCAGAGGGCUAUUAGAGGUUGGAAAGAAAGAGAAGGUGGUGAGAGGGAAGGAAGGACCCAGACAUAGAGUGUACAUGUACGAAACUGUGGAAGAACAAAAGUUGAUAGCAGUAAGAAUCUUAUUGCAAGGACUACAUUCUGGGCUAGAUAAGUCAGAGUAGCUACGGGUGGGAUUCAGGCUGAGUCGCUAUAGAUGGGACCCAGGCCCUAGUGUUCCUUAAACCUCUCUGUGAUCCCAGUGUGCACUCAAGAUUGAGAAAACAGUAAAGUAAACCAGUUAAUCCCUGCACAUCAACUCCCUCCUAAUUCCCGGGCCCAUCUUCUUAUUGCCCUUUGUGUGUCCCACCCCUGCCCACAGCUGUAAUCUCACUGCUGAGAGUCUGUCCUGGAGAAUGCUUUCUUCUUCAGACCUUGCCUCACCGCAGCCCAUUCCAGAAAGACUUCCUUGAAUGUGCUGACCUCUGAACAAACCUGGAUCUGAAUGCGCAGUUACAGUGCAGGCACUCGGGCGCACGAUGACGGCAUUUCAUGCUCGCUUGCUGCUUUCUAAGCAUCAAUCCACAGUCUCUCGGAUGGUGCCAGGGUAGUUUCCUGUGUGCUGGAUUCUGCCCACGCUCCCGCGUCUGACUUCUCAGCAGCGCUCGUUCUCUCAUAUCUAAUUUAUGCACCUGUCUCUCUGUUUGGUCUCGUCUGCUCACUCUUGUCCCGGUGCCGCUGAUUCCCACACAGACCCUUCCUUUUCACUCCCGCACGCUCUCGCUCUUGCUCCACAUUCUUUCCUGUCACUCUGGCAGAUGUCGACUUCAUCCACCUGUCAAAGCCCUCUUCUCGCCCAGGUUGUCUGUGAUAUUUCUCUCGUCAGACAAAACUAAGGGUGCUCCCUUCACAUUCCCGCUUCUUUCAGCUUAUCCCAGUCACUUAGAGUUUGUGGCGGUGUAGCAGAGUUCGUGGUCUCCGCAUAUCUUAAACAAUCUGUAACACGGUAAAGGCACACAGGUAAUGCAACGUGAAACGAGACUUCCAGCACUGUUUAUGAGGGGAUUAAAAACCAAGGGCUGCUGAUAGGAAAGGCCGUUUUCUGCAUUCACAUCAUUAAUUGGAAACUGAGCUUUAAUCAGCCCUAGCCCUGGGCAUCUGCUGUCUUGUAUACAUGUGCUAGGUGUAGGGUAUGCUGGCUUCCUUUCCAUAAAAUUGCAUUAAGUGAACUGGUGAACAGGCAAAGUGUGCAAAGCAUGUUGCUCUCUUUGAAAGCUGUCACUACGGUCAGAGAUAAAAAGGCAGAGCAGACUAGACUUUGGACUGGCAGAGCAGAGCAGACUAGAAAACCCAAUGUCUUGAGCAGACCCACAAAGCUGACGCUUCUUCCCUUAAAGUUCCGGAUGCAAAAUAACCUUGCAAUUCCUCAUCUUAAAAUAGCACCCACAGAAGCUGUGCGGGAUAAGAAUUCCACACUCGUAAGGGAUCUUAUCACCGGGGGUUCUGGAUCCCCCCUCUGAGAAAAAGACUCUCUGUAGCGAGAACCAAGAAGUCAAUUUCACAUUUCAGAAUUAAAUUGAAGCAUGUUUGCUGCUAUAAAAGUUGAUGAGCUGAGUUUUCUAAUCUUGAAAUUGCUAUUCUCCCGUCUCUAUGGGAACACAUCACAGUGAAGACAUGGUAUGGAAAGAGAAAGUGUGCAGCAGGAGUGUGGAAUUCUUUGGAGAAUCUCCCUAUCAGAAACUAAAAGUUACCCAACAGUGCCCCCCCCAUUGCCCCACUGUGACUAAAACCUCAGUUUUACUCUACAGCUUCCUUCAAAGAACCUAGAUAGAACCUCAAGUUCUGGUCACAUAGAUGAGCAAGCAGAUUUUAGUCAAGGUUUCAGAACAUAGCCCACCAACAGACUCAAUCACUGCCCUACUCAGCCAAAGGCCAUCAAAAUUAAAGCCUCGGUUUUGUCUCAACAAGCAUUCAUUCUGUAUCGUUUGUUAUGAUUUGUCUGUAACAUCCUUUUGGGUUUUACCAAGUUACUCAACUGACAAAUCUCCAAUGACAAAGACAUGUGUGCACUAACUGAGAUAGGGUUCAACUGGCCCAGGGCGGGAACACAAGGACAGGCAGGGUAUGCAACUCCUGAUAGAGAUGAUAUUGUGUGUGUUUUGGAAAAUGAGUACAUUUUACAUAGGUGGAUAGGAAGGAAGUCACAGGCAACAGCUUGGGAUGGGUAGGAAGGACUCGUUCACUGUGGAUGGAACAACUGGUCUACCUACCAGUGUGUGUGUGUGUGUGUGUGUGUGUGUGUGUGUGCGUGCGUGUGUGUGUGUGUGUGUGUGUGUCUGUUGAAUUAUAUCUCCUAUCCUAAUUCAAAGCGGUACGUAACCAUCAGUACUCACAGUGUGAUCUUACUUGGAUUCUUACCUUUUGAAGGGGUGACUAAGUUGAAACAAGACCAUUAGGCUGGGCCCUGGAUGAACAAUGCCAUCCGAUGAAGAUGCUUGGGAUCUGUGUGCAGAGAGGAGAGUCGUCAUUGGCCAUGCCAGAGAAGCAGCAGGUGGCAACUGAAGUUCCUUCCAGGUGUCGGUUCACCAGAAGGGAAUCCUCUGAUGAACCAAUUUCAUUUGCAAGGCCUUGGAACUGCAGACCCUAGAAUGUCUUGUGCUUCUGCUGUGUUUUUACAGGUUUGCUGCGGCUCUCUUUCUCUGCUAUCUAGCAUGGUGUGGGUGAACGUGGGGAGCUCUCCACUGCCUAUAAUAAAGUGUGUUUAUCUCUUGGAAGCAUCCCAUUCUACUGGGAUUUUUACCUGUGGAUUGUCAAGAAGAUGACCCCUCCCUAAACUGUACUUUCUAAUUUGAUAAUAAAAAUGAUAGCCUAUAGAGAGUUUUGAUGAAUGAAAAUAAAUGCAAGGAUAUGUUUCAGCCAGGGUCUGUGAGUCUCACCUAUGGAGAUGCAUGGAUUGUAGAUCAAGUUAAUGACCGACAAUUGAGUCCCAAUAGCCCAGCUAGUUUAAGUCUUGUUUUUAACCUUAAUGUCAGGAGAUAUGUUCACAGGUCUCAGAGUGCAUCACAGCUAAAACAAAGCUUUGAAAAUAAAAAAGUUAGACUAAAAUGUUUUUGUUAAAUAGCUUUGAGGUGAAAAGUGCAAGACAAUCUAAAGUGUUAGAAAGGCACAUGGUUGAAUAUGGAACUCUUCAAGGUCAGGGAAAAAGAACAAAACAACCCAAUUAUUACUGGCUGACAUACUCUCCUUACUAGGUUUGGUUGAUGACCAAAGAUAACAAUUAAUUCCUCAUACAUAUUUCUUCCCUCAAUCUCAUAUAUAUAGCUAUUGAUGAAUGGAUAUGUACCCCCAAAGAUUUAAAUUAGAGCUGAGUGGUUUUUUUUCAUAUAUAAAGGCUUAGGUUUGUGAUUCCUUUAAGAUUCCUUCUAAGAUUACCUUUCAAGGUAAGUAAUAAAAUAAUUGGCCCUUUCUUUGUUACUGCAAAGUGCAGCCUGCCAGUAAGAGAACUGACAAGAACACCUCGUUUGCCACAUGGUUAAUCUAUAACAAGUUGCUUGGGUAUGAAUGUAUGUGGGUUCUUGGGAUAAUUUGUUUUUCACUUGUAAUACAUAAAAUGUUUAAUCAUGUGAGGGAGAUGAAAACCAUGUUUUUACCUAUAAUCAUUCACUUGAAAAUGGAAUGCAACUGUUUUGACUCUU